ensembl:misc_RNA Metazoa_SRP Metazoan signal recognition particle RNA
UGUACUAAGCCGAUUUGGUAUCCACACUAAGUUUGACAUCAGUGUGGUCCAGGCUGCCUAAGGAGGGGUGAACUGGCUCAGACCAGAACCAGAGCAGGUCAAAACUCCUGUGCUGAUGAGUAGUGGGAUCGUGCCUGUGAAUAGGCG